AAAAAAAAAAAGAAAAAAAAAGAAAGUAAAAAAGGAGGGCUAAAUUCUGAAGAAAAAAGAUCUGAGACUUGGAUGGAGAGGGAAAGGGAUCGAAAAUGGAAAUCCGGGACUCUAUAGCUCAGCCCUCAGAUCUCUAAUGGUUUUCCCUGAGAUCUGUCUUCUUUCAUCCAGAGAUCCGAUCCUCCCAAAUCUCAAAUCACCCAUUCAAAGGAUUUCCCAAUCCACUGCAAUGGGCCGCCUCCGUCUCCAGAAUCCUGGCAUAAAUCCCAUCGAUGAGGAAUCCCUCGCCGACAUUGACACCGACCAAUCUCCCAACCCCCCGCCGGAUAAUUCUUGCUGCUCCUCAUCCGGUCACGCUUUGGCCUGUAUGAUCAACUCGAAGGUUAGUGCCGUCCUCGCUGUCAUGCGCCGAAACGUCCGGUGGAGCGGCCGCUACGCCUCUACCGCCGACGAAUACCUUGACCACUCCCUGAUUCAAUCUCUCAAAUCUCUGCGCCGCCAGCUCUUCUCCUGGGAUACCAGCAGAUGGAGCUCCAUCGAUCCCACUCUGUAUCUCCGCCCUUUCCUCGACGUCAUCCGCUCCGACGAAACUGGCGCGCCCAUCACCGGUGUUGCCCUAUCUUCUGUCCACACAAUUCUAGCCCUUGAGGUGUUUGACGCCGGGACUGCCCACGUCGAAGACGCUAUGCACGCUGUUGUGAACGCGGUUACAAGCUGCAGGUUUGAGGUGACCGACCCGGCAUCAGAGGAGGCGGUACUGAUGAAGAUUCUUCAGGUGCUUCUGGCUUGCAUGAAGAGCCGGGCAUCGAUGGUUCUCAGUAACGAGCAUGUGUGCACCAUUGUUAAUACUUGUUUUCGGGUUGUUCAUCAGGCGGGAACCAAGGGAGAGCUUCUACAGAGGAUAUCCCGCAAUACAAUGCAUGAGCUAGUCCGUUGUAUCUUCGUGCGAUUGCCUGAUGUUAGCAAAAGCAAUGGCAAACUUUCAUCACUAGUUGAGAUGGCUGGGAUUGACAAGAACCAGGCCUUUGGAAUGAGUCAAAUGGAGAAUGGUAAUGGGAAUUAUGGGUCCUUGACAAUCCCAGUAGAUGAUAGCACUGUGAGGUUGGAAAUGCCAAACGGCAUGAAGAUAAUGGUCGAGUCAUAUGGUAUACCUUGCAUGGUGGAGAUAUUCCACUUCUUGUGUUCUCUAUUGAACAUUGUUGAACAGAUUGGGAUAAGUCCCAGGACAAACCCAAUGGCUCUGGAUGAAGAUGUUCCUCUUUUUGCUCUUAGGAUGAUCAACUCAGCUAUUGAAUUGGGGGGGUCUUCAAUAAGCAGGCAUCCUAAGCUACUUGCUUUGAUACAGGAUGAGCUUUUCAGGAAUCUAAUGCAGUUUUCCCUGUCAAUGAGUCCACUAAUCCUGUCCACUGUGUGCAGUAUUGUUCUUAACCUUUAUUGUCACUUGCGCAUACAGCUUAAACUUCAGAUUGAAGCAUUCUUCUCAUGUGUUAUCUUGAGGCUAGCACAGGGUAAGUAUGGGGCUAGUUUCCACCAGCAAGAAGUGGCUAUGGAAGCUCUUGUGGACUUCUGCAGGCAGAAGACUUUCAUGGCAGAAAUGUAUGCCAACUUGGACUGUGACAUAACUUGCAGCAAUGUUUUUGAAGACCUUGCUAAUCUUCUCUCAAGGAGUGCCUUCCCUGUCAAUUGCCCGUUAUCUACAAUGCAUAUUCUUUCUUUGGAAGGCCUUAUUGCUGUAAUUCAGCGGAUGGCUGAUAGAAUUAGCAAUGCACCACCUAGGUCACGGCAAGCUCUACUGGAGCUAGAUGAGUAUACUCCAUUCUGGACAGUGAAGUGUGAAAACUAUUCUGAUCCUGAGCAAUGGCUAAAAUUUGUUCGUUGCAAAAAGUACAUCAAGAGAAGGUUAAUGAUUGGGGCUGAUCACUUCAAUAGAGAUCCAAAGAAGGGUCUCGAGUUUCUGCAGGGAAACCAUCUUUUGCCAGAGAAGCUGGACCCUCAGAGUGUGGCAUGCUUUUUCAGAUACACUGCUGGAUUGGAUAAAAACCUUGUUGGGGAUUUCCUAGGAAACCACGAUGACUUCUGCGUACAGGUUCUUCAUGAAUUUGCUGGUACCUUCGAUUUCCAGGAUAUGAAUCUGGAUACAGCUUUAAGGCUCUUUCUGGAGACUUUCCGCUUACCUGGUGAGUCACAAAAGAUACAAAGGGUGCUUGAAGCUUUCUCUGAGAGAUAUUACGAACAGUCACCUCAUAUUUUAGCUAAUAAGGAUGCCGCCCUGUUAUUAUCAUACUCGCUCAUAAUGCUCAAUACAGAUCAGCACAACGUACAGGUAAAGAAGAAGAUGACAGAAGAGGACUUCAUUCGGAACAAUCGUCACAUUAAUGGUGGGAAUGAUCUUCCCAGGGAGUACUUGUCAGAGCUUUACCAUUCUAUAUGCAAGAAUGAAAUAAGGACCACUCCUGAUCCAGGUAUCGGAUUUCUGGAAAUGUCCCCAAGCCGUUGGAUUGAUCUGCUGAGGAAGUCCAGAAAAACUUCUCCUUAUAUUGUUUGUGAUUCGCAGCCAUACCUUGAUCACGAUAUGUUUGCCAUAAUGUCAGGCCCUACAAUAGCUGCUAUUUCCGUGGUAUUUGAUUAUGCAGAACAUGAAGAUGUUUUUCUGACCUGUGUGGAUGGCUUCUUGGCUUUGGCUAAAAUAUCUGCAUACCAUCAUCUUGAAGAUGUUUUAGAUGAUCUUGUUGUAUCACUAUGCAAGUUCACAACCCUACUGAACACAUCGAUGGCUGAGGAACCAGUUACAGCAUUUGGUGAUGACACCAAAGCUAGACUGGCAACUGAGACGGUUUUUAUCAUUGCAAACACUUAUGGUGAUCAUAUACGCACUGGUUGGAGAAACAUCCUUGAUUGUAUCUUAAGACUGCACAAGCUUGGCCUUCUUCCUGCACGUGUAGCUAGUGAUGCAGCUGAUGAUACAGAGCUGCUUGCAGAUGCAGCUUAUGGGAAACCUGCUGUUAACUCUCUCUCUGCAUCUCAUAUUCCAUCAAUGGGUACCCCUCGCAGGUCUUCUGGGCUGAUGGGAAGGUUUAGUCAGUUACUAUCUCUCGACACAGAGGAACCAAGGACACAACCAACUGAGCAGCAACUGGCAGCUCAUCAGAGAACCCUUCAGACAAUUCAGAAGUGCCACAUAGAUAGCAUAUUCACGGAGAGCAAGUUCCUUCAUGCUGAUUCACUGUUGCAUCUUGCCAGAGCCCUUAUCUGGGCAGCUGGUAGGCCUCAGAAGGUCACCAGUUCACCUGAUGAUGAGGAUACGGCUGUUUUCUGCCUGGAGCUGCUCAUUGCCAUCACAUUGAAUAAUAGAGAUAGAAUUUUUCUUCUCUGGCAGGCUGUGUACGACCACAUAGCCAACAUAGUCCAGUCUACUGUGAUGCCUAGUGCUCUUGUGGAGAAGGCAGUAUUUGGUAUACUCAGAAUUUGUCAGCGGCUACUUCCAUAUAAAGAGAGCCUGGCUGAUGAGCUUCUAAGGUCACUGCAGUUAGUCUUAAAGCUUGAUGCUCGUGUAGCUGAUGCUUACUGCGAGAACAUCACACAGGAAGUCUCACGUUUGGUGAAAGCAAAUGCUACUCACAUUAAAUCCCAUAUGGGUUGGAAGACAAUCACUUCCCUACUGUCCAUCACUGCUCGUCAUACUGAAGCUUCAGAGAUUGGUUUUGAAGCACUAGUGUUUAUUAUGUCUGAAGGGUCUUACCUAUCACCAGCCAACUAUCUUCUUUGCAUUGAAGCAUUACGCCAGUUUGCAGAAUCUCGUGUUGGACUCACUGAUCGAUCAACACGUGCACUGGAUCUCAUGGCUGAGUCCAUCACCUGUCUUAUUCGUUGGUCUCAAGAGAUUAAAGAUGCAGGGGAGGAAUCUGAGAAAUUGUCUGAAGGAAUUCGGGACAUGUGGCUCAAGCUUGUUCAAGCCCUGAAAAAGCUGACACUGGAUCAGAGAGAAGAAGUAAGAAAUCAUGCCAUGUCAUCAUUGCAGAAAUGUUUGUUGGAAGUUGAUGGGAUUUGCCUGUUGCCUUCAUCUUGGUUGCAUUCUUUUGAUAUUGUUAUAUUUAUGAUGCUUGAUGACUUGAUUGAAAUCGCUCAGAGCCAAUCACAGAAGGAUUACCGAAACAUGGAGGGAACACUCAUGCAUGCCGUGAAGUUACUCUCCAAGGCAUUCUUGCAUCUAUUACAGGAGCUUUCUGGACUGAGCAGCUUCUGCAAACUAUGGCUGGGGGUUCUUAGUCGCAUGGAGAAGUACAUGAAGGUUAAAGUUAGAGGCAAAAGAAGCGAGAAGAUCCAAGAGUUGGUCCCUGAAUUGCUGAAGAAUAUAUUGCUUGUGAUGAAAUCAAAGGGGAUUCUUGCAAAAAGGAGCACAAUAGGUGGUGACAGUUUGUGGGAAUUGACAUGGCUUCAUCUAAAUAACUUUGCUCCAUCUCUGCAAUCAGAAGUAUUUACUGGCGAACUGGAACUGGAUUCCAGUAAUCACACACAAUCUGAUGGAAGUCAUUCUGCGGUUGUAGAGGAAGGCAGUCCGUCAGGUUGAAGGAUAAGAGGUUUUCCUUUGGUUGCUUUAUCAUUUACAAAUCUUAAUCGUCGGGAGCUUUGAUGCGGGUAUUAUUUUUGGCUAACUGUCUGUGGCAUUGUAAAUUUUAGAUGAUUAUCUUGAUUGGGAGAGAGCCAUAUAAACUUUCUUCGAAUAUAUGAAUAUAUUCGAAAAUAGAGCCGGAAAAGCAAGCGAAAUAUGUGGCUUGUCAUCUACAAAGAGGCUCGAGCGUUUGGUGGUUGCAACUAUUACAAACGUGAUGCCGCCAGGGAAAAGGAAACAUUCAAAUCCACUAAUAUAGUUAUUAACUCAUUGCAUUUGUUGUCUGUUUUGGUCCCUGCUGUUUUCCCGUUCUUGUUGCUGUUAACUGGAAGCUACCAAGACACUUAUCAAAAUUACAGCUAAUUCAAAACUUUACAAUUUACGUUGCUGAUAAAGGAUUGAAAGAUAAAAACUUCAUUCGAUAUAGUUAUACAAAGGGCUUCUAUCCAAUGUAGUAGAAAGGGACGAGAGCUGUUGUUAUAUGACAUCGAAGUCAUUAGGUGCUUGCAUGGGCAUGCGUAGGCAAUAAGUUUUCAUGUAGAUGUUCUCGUAUGCUGAGUGCUUUUGUACGAAUUUUAUGUAGCUUGUCCAUUUAUAUUGCUUGU